UACAGAGGGUGCGAGCGUUGUCCGGAAUCACUGGGCGUAAAGGGCGCGUAGGCGGCCUGGUAAGUAGGGGGUGAAAUUCUGCGGCUCAACCGCAGAGCUGCCUUCUAAACUGUCAGGCUGGAGCACAGUAGAGGCAGGUGGAAUUCCCGGUGUAGCGGUGGAAUGCGUAGAGAUCGGGAAGAACAUCGGUGGCGAAGGCGGCCUGCUGGGCUGUUGCUGACGCUGAGGCGCGAAAGCGUGGGGAGCAAACAGG
rnacentral:misc_RNA from 1 species